AUUUAGUAUCAGUGCUUUGAAAUUCACAAGGAUCCACUGAAGAUCACCCCAGGUAACUGUCUCUCCACAUCAAUCUAUUGAUUCUCACUGCAUGGAGUGAAGAAGAAACCACCAGAUCAGGUGGAGUACGAAUUCUGGCUCUCCUGUCCCUCACUAACUCUACCAUCUGAAGAAAACUGAUUAAUAUCCCUGAAUGUCACCUUCCCCAUUUGUGAAAUGAAGAUAUAAAAGCCUACUUGCAGAGUCACGCUGAGGAUUAAAUGAGAUAACAACUAUGCCCUUGCCUAACACCGUACCUGUUGUUAAGUUGGUAAUAAAUUAAUUUCAAUCACUAUAAUGUUAUAACCUCUGUUCCUUGGACAAUUCCAUUUCACUCUUCAUUUCUUGA
rnacentral:lncRNA from 1 species